UUAAGUGACUAAGCGUACACGGUGGAUGCCUGGGCAGUCAGAGGCGAUGAAGGACGUACUAACUUGCGAUAAGCGCAGAUAAGGCAGUAAGAGCCGUUUGAGUCUGCGAUUUCCGAAUGGGGAAACCCAACUGCAUAAGCAGUUACUGUUAACUGAAUACAUAGGUUAACAGAGCAAACCGGGGGAACUGAAACAUCUAAGUACCCCGAGGAGAAGAAAUCAACCGAGAUUCCGGUAGUAGCGGCGAGCGAACCUGGAUUAGCCCUUAAGCACUCGGUGAAGUAGGUGAACAAGCUGGAAAGCUUGGCGAUACAGGGUGAUAGCCCCGUAACCGACGCUUCAUCGAGCGUGAAAUCGAGUAGGGCGGGACACGUGAUAUCCUGUCUGAAUAUGGGGGGACCAUCCUCCAAGGCUAAAUACUCCUGACUGACCGAUAGUGAACCAGUACCGUGAGGGAAAGGCGAAAAGAACCCCUGUGAGGGGAGUGAAAUAGAACCUGAAACCGUGUACGUACAAGCAGUAGGAGCACCUUCGUGGUGUGACUGCGUACCUUUUGUAUAAUGGGUCAGCGACUUAUAUUCAGUGGCAAGGUUAACCGUAUAGGGGAGCCGUAGCGAAAGCGAGUCUUAACUGGGCGCUCAGUCUCUGGAUAUAGACCCGAAACCGGGUGAUCUAGCCAUGGGCAGGUUGAAGGUUGAGUAACAUCAACUGGAGGACCGAACCGACUAAUGUUGAAAAAUUAGCGGAUGACUUGUGGCUAGGGGUGAAAGGCCAAUCAAACUCGGAGAUAGCUGGUUCUCCCCGAAAGCUAUUUAGGUAGCGCCUCGGACGAAUACUACUGGGGGUAGAGCACUGUUAAGGCUAGGGGGUCAUCCCGACUUACCAACCCUUUGCAAACUCCGAAUACCAGUAAGUACUAUCCGGGAGACACACGGCGGGUGCUAACGUCCGUCGUGGAGAGGGAAACAACCCAGACCGCCAGCUAAGGUCCCAAAGUAUUGCUAAGUGGGAAACGAUGUGGGAAGGCUCAGACAGCUAGGAUGUUGGCUUAGAAGCAGCCAUCAUUUAAAGAAAGCGUAAUAGCUCACUAGUCGAGUCGGCCUGCGCGGAAGAUGUAACGGGGCUAAGCAAUACACCGAAGCUGCGGCAAUGUCUUUUAGACAUUGGGUAGGGGAGCGUUCUGUAAGCCGUUGAAGGUGAAUCGUAAGGUUUGCUGGAGGUAUCAGAAGUGCGAAUGCUGACAUGAGUAACGACAAAGGGGGUGAAAAACCUCCUCGCCGGAAGACCAAGGGUUCCUGUCCAACGUUAAUCGGGGCAGGGUGAGUCGACCCCUAAGGUGAGGCCGAAAGGCGUAAUCGAUGGGAAACGGGUUAAUAUUCCCGUACUUCUGACUAUUGCGAUGGGGGGACGGAGAAGGCUAGGUGGGCCAGGCGACGGUUGUCCUGGUUCAAGUGCGUAGGCUUGAGAGUUAGGUAAAUCCGGCUCUCUCUAAGGCUGAGACACGACGUCGAGCUACUACGGUAGUGAAGUCAUUGAUGCCAUGCUUCCAGGAAAAGCCUCUAAGCUUCAGAUAGUCAGGAAUCGUACCCCAAACCGACACAGGUGGUCGGGUAGAGAAUACCAAGGCGCUUGAGAGAACUCGGGUGAAGGAACUAGGCAAAUGGUACCGUAACUUCGGGAGAAGGUACGCUCUUGAUGGUGAAGUCCCUCGCGGAUGGAGCUGACGAGAGUCGCAGAUACCAGGUGGCUGCAACUGUUUAUUAAAAACACAGCACUGUGCAAAAUCGCAAGAUGACGUAUACGGUGUGACGCCUGCCCGGUGCCGGAAGGUUAAUUGAUGGGGUUAGCGCAAGCGAAGCUCUUGAUCGAAGCCCCGGUAAACGGCGGCCGUAACUAUAACGGUCCUAAGGUAGCGAAAUUCCUUGUCGGGUAAGUUCCGACCUGCACGAAUGGCGUAAUGAUGGCCACGCUGUCUCCACCCGAGACUCAGUGAAAUUGAAAUCGCUGUGAAGAUGCAGUGUACCCGCGGCUAGACGGAAAGACCCCGUGAAC
rnacentral:rRNA from 1 species